rnacentral:lncRNA from 1 species
AAGAGAGAGAUAGAUGGAUAGAUAAAAAGAGAAAGAAAAAAAGGUAGAUAAAGAAAAACGGAAAAAAGACAGAAAUAAUUUCGUGUGGUUUUAAACGGACAUCGCCGUCGUCAUCGUCAUCGUCAUCGCGUACUGUGCGUGUUACCCCCUCUCCUUCAUUCCUCCUUUAAUAAAAUUUGACAUUCUUUUAAAAGGAGAAUUUAAAUGAAAUCGCGCGAGAACGCACACACGUACACACCAAACGUAAACGUUUGAAAGAAAUUACUCCGGGAAACGGUAAAGGACAACAAGGUGCUAGUGGCGGAUAGUGAGGAAGAUUAUCCGGUGUUUUUAUUGCGAUUUUUAAAAAGAAUAAGAAAAAGUAGAACAAAAAUAAACGGACAUAGAUAAGUAGAUAGAUAAGUAGAGAUUAGAAAGAGAAGGAUCGACGACAACGUGAAAUAUCGCGUGUAAUUUUUCUUUUUGGUUUACGAUCAACUAAACUUACGUACGAAUGUAACAAACGUAACGAACGAGUUAAUGGUGUCGAAGCGUUGUUCGUGUUCUUCUGGUGGUGGUAGUGGUUUCGUUGGUGCUGGAAAGCAAGGAUAAAGAUAACAAAACGAAAAACAAGUAAUAAAAAAAAAACAACAAA